AUUGAACGCUGGCGGCAGGCCUAAAACAUGAAAGUCGAACGAGUGGCGGACGGGUGAGUAAUGUCUGGGAAACUGCCUGAUGGCGGGGGAUAAAUACUGGAAACGGUAGCUAAUACGGCAUACCAUCGGAUGUGCCAAAGUGGGAUUAGCGAGUAGGUGGGGUAAAGGCUCACCUAGGCGACGAUCCCUAGCUGGUCUGAGAGGAUGACCAGCCACACUGGAACUGAGACACGGUCCAGACUCCUACGGGAGGCAGCAGUGGGGAAUAUUGCACAAUGGGCGCAAGCCUGAUGCAGCCAUGCCGCGUGUAUGAAGAAGGCCUUCGGGUUGUAAAGUACUUUCAGCGGGGAGGCGUUACCCGCAGAAGAAGCACCGGCUAACUCCGUGCCAGCAGCCGCGGUAAUUC
rnacentral:rRNA from 1 species